AAUAUUGAUUAUUGCAUGAUAAUUGAUUGAAAGAUGCUAUUGCAUCACUACCAGAUGGACCUGCGUUGUAUUAGCUAGUAGGUGAGGUAACGGCUCACCUAGGCGACGAUACAUAGCCGACCUGAGAGGGUGAUCGGCCACACUGGGACUGAGACACGGCCCAGACUCCUACGGGAGGCAGCAGUAGGGAAUCUUCGGCAAUGGACGAAAGUCUGACCGAGCAACGCCGCGUGAGUGAAGAAGGUUUUCGGAUCGUAAAGCUCUGUUGUAAGAGAAGAACGGGUGUGAGAGUGGAAAGUUCACACUGGGACGUAUCUACCAGA
rnacentral:rRNA from 1 species